AUCGAUAUCAACGCUUAUAGGUCAUUUCUUUCUUUUUUUUUUACUUCAGUCGCGACUCCGAAAAAAAUGUAUCCCGUCUGCCACUCACCGGUCUGCAGCCAUGCUGGAGCACAGCUUUGAAUAGUUUAAUCAAACAAAUCACCCCAGUACUGAUUUUUAAAUUCUAGUACAUUACUCUCUUUUGCUGAACCGCUAAGUUACUGGGGUGUAAACAAUCUAACACCGACUGUCAAGCAAUGGCGGGAGACCAACACUAAGAUACAUAUACACAUACACACAUAUAUAUGCACACACUAACCUUCUUUCAAUUUCUGCCUUGCAAAUCCUCACACAAGACUUUGGUUGGCUCGGGAUUUAGUAGAAGACAUUUUCCCCAAGAUGUAGUACAGUGGAACUGAACCCAAGACCAACAUGUUUGGGGAGCAAGCUUCUUAACCACAUGUUUGUACCUAGUUGUGAACACAUUUUCAAAAAAAAGUUGGAUCUAGUGUGUGAAACCCAAAAGUUUUGGCCCCACAUAAUGGAAAUUCAAUGAAUAUCAUCUAUUUCAACAUUUAACAAUCUCCAAAACUGCCAUUCCUAUCAAACAGUGAUACCUGCAAAUAAUAUUUCCUUUUACUUUUCUAUGACUUAAGCAGCAUAAAAAAAUAAAUAAAAAAUUAUUUCCUCACA